CAUGUAGGCGGCAUGACAAGUCUGGUGUGGAAUAUCUCGGCUCAACCGAGAAAACGCACUGGAAACUGUCAAGCUUGAGUAUCGGAGGGGAAGCUAGAAUUCCUGGUGUAGGGGUGAAAUCUGUAGAUAUCAGGAAGAAUACCGGUGGCGAAGGCGAGCUUCUGGCCAGAUACUGACGCUGAGAUGCGAAAGCGUGGGGAGCGAACAGGAUUAGAUACCCUGGUAGUCC
rnacentral:rRNA from 1 species